AGGAUCCUGUGAACGGACACGCUGUGACCAUGCCAACCACACGGAUGAAUCACACAAACACUGCCAGGUUGGCUGAAAGAAGCCAGAUGGGAGAGAAUACACAACACGUGAUUCUGUUUAUCAAGUUCAGGAAGAGGCAAAACUAAACCGUGUUGUGGAGGAAGCACACACUCGUGGAAAGAGAGGAGCGGAGGUAAUUGGAGCUGUGAUGACUGCAGGCCCAGGGGACACUUUCCGUUCACUGGACCCUGUGUCUGAAGAUCCUGACCCUAGCCCCAUCCUGCAGGUGCCACUCCGCCAGCCCCUGAGUCCCUCCAGCCUGUGCCAGCCGCCACCUUAAUUCCCACAAUCCUUUCAUAGCUGCUUUAUGAAUCCAGAAUUUACAAUUUCAUGCAGUGAUAUAGGAUGGUUACGUGCUUACUCCAUUUCCACGUUCUUGCCAAAGAUGCAUAACUUGAAUCUGAUCAUGAGGAAACAUUAGACAGAUCCAAACUGAGGGACAUUCUACAAAAUUACUGGCUUAUAAUCUUACAACAUGUUGAAGUUAUCAAAGUCAAUGAAGGAUCAAAGAAAGUUUCUGAGAAGAGAAAGCUGAAGAGACAUAACAGCCAACCCAAUGCAAAAUGAUUCUGGACUAAAUCCUUUUGUUAGAAAAGAUACACCCAGGACAAUUGUCUAAACUCGAAUGGGGUCAAGAAUCAGAGAGUAGUAGUGCAGAAUGCCUUUGUGUGUGGGAAAUGCAUACCAAAAUGUUUAGAGAUCCCAAGGCAUCUGGUUUGCAACUGAUUUCAAAUGGCUCAGAAAAUAAAAGUUCUUU
rnacentral:lncRNA from 1 species